rnacentral:rRNA from 1 species
UACGAAGGGGGCUAGCGUUGUUCGGAAUCACUGGGCGUAAAGCGCACUCAGGCGGAUCGAUAAGUCGGGGGUGAAAGCCCGGGGCUCAACCUCGGAAUUGCCUUCGAUACUGUCGGUCUCGAGUCCGGGAGAGGUGAGUGGAAUUCCUAGUGUAGAGGUGAAAUUCGUAGAUAUUAGGAAGAACACCGGUGGCGAAGGUGGCUCACGGGCCCGGUACUGACCAUCAGGUGCGAAAGCGUGGGGAGCAAACAGG